UACGGAGGGUGCGAGCGUUGUCCGGAAUCAUUGGGCGUAAGGGCGCGUAGGUGGCCCGGUCAGUUCGUGGUGAAAGCGCGGGGCUCAACCCUGCGUCGGCCAUGAAUACUGCCGCGGCUGGAGCACUGUAGAGGCAGGCGGAAUCCGGGUGUAGCGGUGGAAUGCGUAGAGAUCGGGAGGAACACCAGAGGCGAAGGCGGCUAGCUGGACAAGCACUGACACUCAACUACGAAAGCGUGGGGAGCAAACAGG
rnacentral:rRNA from 1 species